CAACUUGAGAGUUUGAUUCUGGCUCAGAACGAACGCUGGCGGCAUGCCUAACACAUGCAAGUCGAACGAGACCUUCGGGUCUAGUGGCGCACGGGUGCGUAACGCGUGGGAAUCUGCCCUUGGG
rnacentral:rRNA from 1 species